GCAGUGCCCACAUUGCAGCUGUCUGAGCUUUGCACGCACCUGGCUGAGCUGAGCCUGCAGGUCGAUCUCCAGGGCCUGCAGCUGCCGCCUCAGCUCGGUGACCUGAUUGUUGCACGUCUCCACCUCCUGACCGCUCGUGAUAACCUCCCGAUUCACCUCCUCAAUCUGCAAAUCACCAAGCCAGAGCAAAGACCCUCAGAAAAUAUCCGUGCAGGCUGAACUGCUUCUACAGCAGCAGUGCACAAUCGCAUUAACCUCCUGGCUACUGGGGCUCUUUAAUCCCAGCAUGGAAGGUUUCAGUUCCAGCACAGCACCACAAGGCCUCGCGGCAGCUGCUGCCACCAGAUGGGAUGCAGCAAACUGGUCAGACAGGCCUGUGCCUCCCGCAGAGCACUGCGUGUAAAUGAGCACUGAUCUCAGGCGUCUGUAGAGAACAACAGCUUGUUGUCUCUGUGUCUGUUCCCUGAAGUGCUUCUGUGCCGACAUGUGCACGUCAGUCUGUCUGGCAGCAGCUGUGUCUCGCUUACCUUGCACUCGUACCAAUCCUCAACUUCCUUGCGGUUGCGCGCUAUCAGUGUUUCAUACUGGCAUCUCAAAUCCUCCAAGAUCUGCCUGAGAUCUGGCCCAGGGCAGGCGUUGACCUCCACACUCACAUCUCCAGUAGACUGCUUUCUCAGACAGUUCAUUUCCUGGAAAUACAGCCCAGAUUAGACACCACAAAGGAGCAGAGGUGCUGAGAGCAGUGCUCGCUGCGAGUGGCGCCUCCCAACACAGCUGUGAAGUGCAGCGAUGCUGCAGAUCUGUUGGGUAACUGAAAGCACGGUCCUGUAGGUGAAAAGUUCUGUGCCAGGGCUCUGCAGAGCAGCAGCAGCCGCCCAGCCUACCUCCUCGUGGUUCUUCUUCAGGCAGCAGAGCUCCUCCCGCAGCGACUCCAGCUGUGCCUCCAGGUCGGACCUGCAGAGCGUCAGCUGGUCCAGGACCUGGCGCAGCCCGUUGAUGUCCGCCUCCACGCUCUGGCGCAGGGCCAGCUCCGUCUCGUACCUGAGAGAGAAAGCAAGCAGAAAAUGAGAACCCUAUCUCCCCUUAUGCAAAGAUCUCCUCUUGCCAUCUACGUGCUCUGUACUGGGUUUUGCUGUCUAAGCUGAAUGCACUGUGUAUUAGAUUUCUGCGCUGCAUUUGAUGUUUGUUAUGUGCAAGCUGUUCUUCCCCACAUGUUUUCCUCCCCCUCCUGAAAACAGUACCUGGCGUCACUCACCCAUCGCUCGGCUGCUGUGCUGAUCCCAAUCUGCAGUGCUGUGUGAUGGGGAUGCACUGACUGCACCACUAAGGGCCGCUCCCUGCAAUGCCAGUCCCCGGCCCUAACCAACAGACACUGUUGCCAAAUGUUUUACCUCAGAACAGUAAUUAAGGGAGGUCUGAUGACCAAGAGCAAAAGGCCUUUCAUCACCCCAUCCUGUCCUAACGUGGUGUUGCAGUGAGACUCGUCUGAGGUGUCUGUGAGCAUUGCACUGGGAUGAGGGGGCUGGGGGGAUGGGUUUGGAGCUCCGGGGGGCACUCACUUGACACGGAAAUCAUCAGCGGCCAUCCGGCUGUUGUCGAUGUCCAGAAUGAUCUUGUUGUUGUCAAUGGUUGCACAGACAAUCUGGAAAAGAGCAGAGCAUGAGAACAGCUCCCCUCUCUGCUGCAAUACUCCAUGGUUACAUGUAUGCUAAGCAGGAGCUCCUUCUGAUUCCCUUUUCCCACCACCUGUCUCCCCAUAGAUUUGGUCCUGGAGCAGAGCAGUUGCAGGAGGCAGCUUUGCCUCCCUGACGGGCAGGCAGCACGGAGAAGAGCUGGGCUGUGCAGGGCUGGGAGUUGGAGAGCUGUGAGAUGGGCACUCCCAGUUUCAGGGUCUGAAAACAAGUUCCAGAAGUGCUUCACAUGAAAGCUCAGCCGACACGCAGGCUGCACAGUGCUCGGCCUCCAGCUUUAGGGUUUUCAGGGAGAAGUUGGGAGGUAUCUUUAAGCUUAAACAUCUUCCACAACUUUCAGUGUGGACAUUUUAUUGUCAGGCUCUUUGUGUCACUGCACAGAGCAUUUUAAACACCCGGCUUUUCUCACAUAGCAUUUAUAAUGCUUUGGUUGGGUCACCGUCUGUUGGGUGGGAUUUUCUCUUGCUCUACUGCUCCUUUUGCUUUGCUGUAUUCAUAACCAUGCAAUCAGAAUACAGUGUAACAAGGCAUCCUUUUUUCUCCGAAGAGCACUAUCCCUCUUGCAUUGCCUCGCAGCACAACCCCAUUCAGCAACGUCCUGGAGGAAAUUGCUACCGUUUAUGUUUGCAAACACUUUUUACAGCAAUAAAAUUACCUCUAACAGCUGCAUAAGUCCUGAAUGCCAAUUGAAAAACUAAAAAGGGGAGGAAUAAUUGAAAAAUGGCGUUACCUGAUUCUGAAGAUCUUCGAUUUCUUUGUAAUAGCAGCUGUAGUCCCGGGGCUCGCAGGAGAGGCCCUGUGUUGCGUACCAUUCCCUGAUUCUGCAUUCCAGCUCUGCGUUCUCCUUCUCCAAGCACUUCACCUUGUCCAGGUAGGAUGCCAGGCGGUCAUUCAGAUUUUGCAUGGUCACUUUCUCAUCGCAGGAUGAAAGCAAGCAGUCGCUACCAAGACCACCAACAACCACACCGCCUCCGAGACCAAAA